GUUAAAGAAGAUAACUUUUUCUUGGAUGCCUCUCUCAGUUCUCGGUGCUCUGCUUGCUGAGAAAAAUGCAUGUGGGCUUGCACAGCCCAGUGUAUAACGCUGCGGUUUCGUGUCAGCCUCGUUGUCUUACCUAAAAUCUGCGUAAGGACUGAAGAACUGGCUUUGAGUGUUGUAAAUAAGUUCUUCCCUGGAAGUUAUCUAGUUACUUUUGUGCAUGACCAUAUUGUUUGUGAUUAUGUAAAUGCAGUCUGUGUUUAGCUAGGGUUUUGCUGACUCUUCAGGUUUGAAGAAGGGGCACUGGGUACAUUAGCAUGACUUUUUUUCCUUUGUAUAAAAUUGUGCAAUAAAAAAGGAAAGAAACACGAUUUCUGUACAAACCAUGCCUUUAACUCAAAGUUAAGAGAUGAGCAUUGUUGUUAUAAGGACUUUACGACAGGCUUUUGCCCAGAGAGUCUCAGGCUGAUUUCUAAACUUCUAAUCGUAAUGUUAACGUUGCACUAAAAAAGAAUGAGACGAGAUAAGUCUUUUUUUUUUUUUUUUUUUUGGUCCUGCUUAUCAACAUUGUUUUUUGAAUCUGGUUCUGUAGUCAUCUUUAAAUCUUACUUUCAAAUUUAUGAUCGUCUCAUAACAUGCUUAUAAAACUUCCAGAACUUGUUUUUCCAAAGCUUCAGAAGAGUUGUUCUAAGGCGUGUUGUUUUUUUGUUUGUGUUUUUUGCUUUUUGUUGUUGUUCUUUGACAGCCUCUUAAAAUGUCAAAACCAAAGCUGCAUUGCACUGAGGAAAAUUUAUAUUUUUAGCUUGGAAAAAAUGUUGAGCUUUUUUUCCCCCUAUUGCGGCCCCCCCCCCCCCCCCCGUACAGUUUUUUGAAGUUAUUUUUGGAGACGCAUCUGUAGCAUUUACACGAUUGCAGUCACCUGGUGUGUAACUUCUCUUAAAAAGAUGAUGGAUGUUGUUUUGACUGAUAAAAAUUUGAACUUUAAUAAAGCAGUGGUUUUAAAGCUCGCGUUUUGCAAGCAGUUUGUUCACUGUUGCUUACUAGAUUAUUAAAGAUUCAUUAUUGCCAUUUCUUAAGUAAGAGAAACCUCACUAGACUUACAGUACUGCUCAGGAGCUGCUGGUUAUUUUGCCUUUAAAACAGGAGAAACCCUUUUGAAUCCUUUUCAUCGUUUUUGUUUAUUGUUACUUAUUCCUUUAGGUUGGAAUUGAGUCCGUACUUUCCUCAUCCGAAAUAGUAGGUGAUAUUUUCCAGAGUUAACUAGUGUAAUUAAACAACCUCCUCUUGCCACAGUUCGGAACAACCGGCUGAGUGUUGGUUAGGUUAGGGACUGGUACACGCUGGUUUUGUAUCUCAUGAAGAAAAAGUAAAGAUGUGCUGGUUCAUGUUACAGCAAAGUGCAAGAAAACAACUGAAAAGCACUUAAAAAAAAAUGAAAAGAGCACUUGGAAUGUCUUAAGUAUGAAAAUUAGGUUCAUGUGCAUCAGAAGAGAAACGCUCAAGCCAGAAAAACGUGGCUCGUGUUUGGUGAACGCUGUGUGUGGAGGGGAGGCCAGGUACGAACUGAAGAGCUCCUUCCGUAGCUCAGUAACUCCUUUUUAUCAGCUUGGCUCUUUAAGUCCUCCUUAAAUUGAAACUUUCCUCCCCUGAGUACACUAAAUAACGACACAUCAGGAAUGGGAUGCUGCCUGAAACACUCCAAGUUCCGUAGAAUUUGCUAGAAAAGCGGGUCCCUUGCGUUGUCUGUCACCAGCCCCUGUAACUAGGGGCUCUGUCCUUUCCGGAGCAGGUGUGUGGCGGCGCCCACCCGGCCGUGUGCCCGAGGGUGCCGUUGGGGCGCCCAGGCCCCUGCUGCUGGGACGCCCCGGGAACACAGCAGGGCCGCAGCCCGGUGACUCGUGGCUGUGGGACACGGUGAGGUAACACCGGCAGGCCCUUGCCUGCUGGCCCUCAGCAUUAUUAACCUCCCCCUUGCAAGUUCUCAUGCAGGUUGCCUGGAUUUUUCAGUAUUGAUUUUAAUCAAAAUGCACAUUAGGAAAACCUUAUUUUUCUUUUGACGUUUUAUUGCAACUUCAGUAACAGGGUGCUAGUCGAAACAGUGAAGGUGCCGGCGUUUCUAGCCUCGAUGUGCCUCAUGUAAUGGGUUGGGUCGGUCGGUAGAAGCGCCGUACAAGACAUGUCUGUGGUUUUGUAGCGGGAGGAUCUCGGUCUGCGAGGCACACUGGAGCUGCUCCUUGGGUUUUGAAACAGACAGCUGUAACGUCUGUAAGCUGAAUCAGAUCCCUUUGCUCUGACGAGGCAAAGAGUGGCGUGGCUGAAAGUUAAGCAAUGGUAUUUUCUCUGCUUUGGACUUGAGAAAAUACUCAGAGACACCGUGUGCAGGGCAGUUAAAGUAAUUUUAGGGUUUGGGUGGAUUUUUUUGGCUGGUUUUCUUGGAAAGAAUAAUGAAAGCAGAGUUAGUUUUUCAGUAGCAGAACUUAGAUUUUUGAGACAAUUGCUACUUGAACGGGCAAAGUCACCAGGACAGCCUUGAAGAGAAAUAAUACCCAGGUUCGUUAGCAGAGCUUGCCCCUCGACUGUAUUACUCUUGUUUCCACUAGAAACGUGUCUAUGGCUCAUGGGCUGGGUGUCCAAGGAGAGCAAGGAGCUGGUGCAAGUUACAGCUCUUCUGUUCAAGCAGUUGCAUGGCCGGGCACUGACAGAUACCCUGCUGGUUUCACGGGUGCUUUGUAGUGCUUUGCAUGGUUAUGCAAACAGGUGUGGGGGUGGUUUUUUUAAUUCUCAAAUUCUAAAAUACUGAGCAACAAUUGGUAAUUACUUCAAUUACUUUUCAUUUGAGAACUGAUUUUUGUGACGAUUCACUUUUCCAAAUACUCCUGCCUGCUUUGCAGCUGCACCUAUUUUUACUCGCUACUGCAGCGGAUUAGAUAAGAGGUUCUGUGUUUCCAGCACAAGGGUGUACCCAGAAGUGCUUCGAUACUUUGUAACUUCAUUGGUGCUGCAGGAAGUGCAUGGGCUGGAAACAUCCUCAAGAUAGCAGUUUUGAAAGGGAAUAAGCCAUGAAGCCAUUUGUGUAAUGCCUGACAGACAUCUGAGGAUAUUAACAGGGGGACAGUUAACGCUUUUAAUGGUAUAUGGCCUUAGAAAUGUUAACGCUUUCUUUAAGCCUGGAUUCAAAAAGGAGAAAAUCAAACCUGACAAACAUAAAAGCCUUCUUGCUUCUCUGCGAAGUUGCACUGAGAUGGUUUUGAGGGGUAACACAUCAGGAGGGUGGCUGAUGUGGGAGGGGAGGCAGAGGAAGAUAACGCAGCAUUGUGUACCCUUAUCUGGUGGAUUGGUGCCUGGCUUAAAAGGUCAGUUGUUACCCUGGACUGGUCAGGGCUUUUUGAGUUUGUUUUCAUACGUUGCUGGCUAGCUUUUCCGAGGGAUUGGAGCUAUGAUUGAGCUCACCAUAUGGGAUCUCAGAAUAGUUGUGUUGGCACAAUGGCUGGGGUGGUUCAGGGCUGAAGAUACAGAGCAGAGGCUUUGGGAGAGAAGUACAUUUGUUUAAACAUUUACUUUAAAGUCAGAAAGUCCUAAUUGGAUGUCAACUGAUUGUGCAUCUGGUCCAUUCAAAGUUUUAAGGAGAUGACUAUUUUCAGACUAGCUGACACUAGAUGGAAGCCAGACUUUGCUGAAUUGUUUAAAUCCUUCAACGAUUGAAAUAACAAACGUUAUUGUUUUGAUUGUUUCAUUCAGAUUAAAGAAUUGCUUUAGAAGUAGCUAACUUAUAGUUGGUGGAAAUGUCCUAUCCUGAUGAGGGUGUAUUUUCUUAAUUAGUGCCUAGGAGACAGGAUAUGCCUAAAAUCUUAAAGCAAGUGUCAGAUGCAUCCAGCACAGGUGUUACUAAAAGCUUAAUGUUCUGGUUUAUGUAUUUAAUUGGCAACUCAACUAAACCAUUCAGCUGAUGUCACUGAAUGCUUCCAUUUAUUUAUCAGACUUUGAAGCAGCAGCAGAUCAAUUAAUAUUCUUAAUGCAGUAUAAUCUAAUAACCUGUGUAUAAUUAUGUCAAAAGUUAAUGAGUAAUUUUCAAUGUUUAGGUGUCAAACAAGCCAAAUCCACUUCUGUUUGCUGUGGAAUACCUCUGGUUUUGUUGCAGGAAAGGGGGGAAGGAGGUGGACACAAAGAAAACUUCUGUGACCCUGUGCUGUUUGCUUUUCAGCAGUGGUGCUCAUCUAUGUGUACUGCUUUUAGUUACCUUCAGUUAGUCUCAAUUUGAAGGAUGAGCUGCACCCUUCCAUCACAAACAAACAUCAGCCUUUUUUCAAGAAGCUCUCAAACCAUCACCUUCUCUCCCUCUCCCCAUCCAACUUCCACACUAACUUUGUAUAAAUAUGAUGUGACGAGAGUCUGUGGUAGUUGGUUUGUGCAUUUAAGCCCAAAUGCUGCCGUAGGCCCAGCUGUCCUGUUUAAAGGACGAUGUUCCUGCUCUGAAGGCUGUCUGCAGGGAGAGAACGGCGCGUGCGAGGUGAUAGUGGAGGCAAGUUGUUGGCAGUUCUUUAAUUGCUUAAGUAUCAUAUCAUAAAGAUAAAUAUAGUCACAGAGGCUCACAUCCAGUGAGUUUACAAGGCAAUUGCUAUUUCUUUAAAUUACUUGAAGCUUUUAUGGAAAUCUGAUACUGCCUCUGAAUCAGCCUGGAGUGAAUGAGACUCUUUAUGUGGAUUCUUUUUGUUCCCACUUUUCACAUAGCUCUGACAACUUUUUGUUCAAGCCUAUUCAUUAGUCAAGCAAAAUCAGGGCACAGAUGAUAUUGUAGGUGUUAGAAAUGAAUUCUGACCAAGGUUGCAUCAAGAAGACUGACUGAUUCUAUAUAUAGUAAAACAUCCAGAGAGCAAGAAUGAUAUUUCAGUGUCUCAUAGCUAUAAAAUUAGUGACUGCUGUUGCUUUUAAAGAGAAGUGUAUUUAGGUGUUGUGAUAACAUGUUUACGCAGACACGAGUCUCGGGUUUUGGAGUUAGCGGUGUUCUCAUGUUUGUUCUCUGUGAACAAUUUUUUCUUCUUGUGACAAGGCUAACAUAAUCCUUUUGGGGAAGAUAUCUGGAAAAAAACAUCUAAAAUUCAAACCUUCCAUGGAAGAAACUGAGAAAUGGACAACUGGCUUUCUUGAAAUAGGCCUAUUAAGCUUAUGGAAUGCAAAGAACUUUUUUUAAGAGACCUGUGACAUUUAGGAAAUGCUAGAUGAUCAUUUGAGGAAAAAAAUCCUCCAUAUAUCGACUUAAUAGAGGCUUUAUUGAGGUUAAAAUCUAUACAGAUCAAAGUACUUCCACAUUUUAAAAAAUUACGGGUAGCUUCCAAGGAAGCCCUGCCUAUAGGUAACGGGGUACAUAAACCUAGUGCCUGUUGAUUUAGUGACUGUAUUUUAUUCUUACCUAUUCAUGAGGAAACUUGUUGGUUCCAAAUGGGAGGUUUAAUGCACACUGAGGGCGCUUGGUAGUGCUGAGUUUUAAUACUGUUAAGUGUCUUCAAAAAGCUACUCUUGCGUCAGCCUCAGAUUAACAUGGGAUGAAUAGCAGAGCAAUUCAUCAGCGAGGCAGCUCAGAAGAGUGUCAGCAAGAAAGCUGACGAUGAUAAAUUGGGGAGAAAUGGAUGCUGCGAGAGAUAGCCACCACAGCUACUGCUGGAGUUUUGAGGGGUGGCAGUUGGUAUUUAGGUGUGUGCUGGAUAAUUGAGAGAGGAGGGGCGGUGCUCCCUUGCUUGGCUGAGUAGAAAAGAAACCAUCCCUUGUACAGCUCAAGACGGUUGCUAAAUUUGAUGCCUUAAAAUGGCAGAUGGACAACUGGAUUAUACUUUAUGAAAAACGUUUACAUCAAUCUUUAGGACUGAUAAAUGUGAAUUGUUUUCAAGAUAGACUCCUGAACUUCCCUUGACGUUUGCAAUCUCAGCAACCUUAUUUGGCAAUAAAAAAAAAUAUCAAUAAUUAAAUUUGAAGUAAACUUGGUUUAUUUUGAACUUAAUUUUGCUUGAAGUUUUGCACUCAGCUCUCUUACAGCUCUUAGAACUCUGGUUACUUUCAUUUUAAAAUCUCAUUACUUUUUUGCACGAUAAAGGGAAUAGUUGUAAAUCUGAGGAGGUUAAGUGAAAAACACUAUUACCUUUUUUGGUUUCUAUCAAUGUGGUAGCAUAACUAAGUGGUUUUUCUUAUGUGCAGUCUCUAAUCCCAUUCAGUGUGGUUAGUGCUAGAAUUGUUUUUUAUGAUUUGUAUCAAGUUGUUGAACACUUGAUAUGCAGAGAACUGUUUCAAGUAAUAAUGCCCAAGUUCUUUAGUUUGUGGGAGGCUGUUCAUAUGGAUUUUCUUCUGCGUAGUUACUGUAGGUUCUGUUUCCUGUGUACAGGGUUUCUCAGUCUUCAGCAGAAUUCAAUACAGAAAUCAGUGAAGAUGAGCAUUUCAGUCAGUAUGUACAGUAGCCAUAAUGGUAUGGCAUAACAGUGUUAAGAGUAUAAAUUGCUGUACAGAUAAAACUAGAUCUGUGGUACGAUUUUAUUUUCUGGAUAAAGCAGUUUUGCUGCUGAAAUCUUCAAGCAUUUGUUCAUAACUGUGCUCCAGAAUAAACAGGAAGAUGCUGUAUUAACUUCGGUAUUUCUUCAAACAUUUGUUGCAUGCUCUUAUUAAAUUCUAAAUACUGAGGCAAAAUGCUAAUAAAUUGCUAACAUUUAAAGACUUUUUUCCUAGCGUAGUUAGAGGGAUUAGUAGUUUCUCAUAGUACGCAGUGCAUGUAGUUGAAAGGCAGCACGGACUGUUAACAACUUGUUUUUAAUUACUAUUUUUCUUUGGAAGGUGAAGGAGUGAACAUAGCUAGCAAUGAAACAAGGAUAAUUUCCAGGCUGCUAAGCAAAUUGGUGCAACAUGAUGCCAUAAAUAUGGAUACAAAUACUAUGCACCUAUCAGCACUGGUAUCACAGAAAAAUAGCAUUAAUGACAUAGUACAUUUUUUAAGCAUGUCAUUGUGUAAGUAGCUACAAAAAAUGUAUUAUACAUUGAUGUUGAAACUGCGAAGUCAUUAUGUGAAAGAAACAGAGAUCAAAAUACCUUCUUGUACUGGUGUUUUGAACUGAAAUAGCUUCCUGCUCAGAAAACGUUUCCACUUUGCAAAAAGAGAGUAACAGUUUAAGUUAGCCUUCAAACAUUGUGAGAUUAUAUUCUGUUUUGCUGUCAAGAUUUAGGAAAGUAAGAUAGCACUGAGGUAUAAAGGUAUCAGUGGCUGUCUAGUGUGAGAUCUGAAGUAGCUUGUCAUGUGGUUCUUCAGUAGUUCAGAUAUUUGGAGAUCUUGUAUAGGGGUGGGGGAACUGAUCUUUUAAAAUGUCUUGUCUCAUAGCUUUUAUCUUUUUUUUCUUUAAAAAACAAAACCCCAAAACGUAAGAUGUGUUUCUUAUGCAUAAGCCAUUGAAGUGCUGUGUCUCCUGGCAGUGUUUUGACAUUAAGUAGUUUAAAAUACUGCAGGUUGAACAUUAAUGACUUCAUUAACUUUAUUAAGUCUAUUUAGUGAGCUCUCUCCAUAGUUUACUUCUAGUUUGUUUACUGUCAGGAAUGGAGCUAGACCAGUCAGUCAGUUUCCAGUUAGUUUUCCUGAGAUUCUCCAGCAGCAGUGUGAGGCAGCUUGUUGUAGAUCAUCUGUCUGGCAGAACCUUUUCCUAGGAUAGUAAAAAUGGAGGUAUUUUUGAGUGAAGUUAAUGUUUCUAUAAUGAAUUCAAGGUUCCUUUAUGUGUACUGACUGGUUUUCCAACAUAAUCUCUGGUAUUUUUCCUCUUUUUUUUUUUUUUUUUUUUUUUUAAGCCAAGCUACUCUUCUCACUCCUGUAACUAACCUUAUCUGACAUAGCAAAGAAUUACAAAGCAGCUAUAUUUCAUAUUAUAAUAUUAUCCGCGAAACUCCGCAGUCUCUUACACAAAAGGUAACAUCAAAAGUUUUUUUUUUUUUUCUCUAGACCUAACUCUUAAAGCUUUAUAUCCUGCUGCUGCAUGAAAACACUGUUUGAUAUGAGACCUCCAGGAUCACGUUUUCUCUGAAGUAGACAGCAUCUUUUUCUUUUGCGAAGUUAAUGGAGCUAUAUGAAAAGCAACAUGAGUUACCAGGAUGGUGUUUUUCAAUCUAUGGUUUGCAGACCCACUGCAUAGAAAGAGUUGCGGAAGAUAACAAAGAAGAAGGAAGUCUGUUGUUUGGAGAUUUAAAUUGGCUGCACUGAGCCUUCACCUUGUUCAGGAACUUUUUGUUUGUCUGUAAAUGGAAAAGGUUGAAGACCACUGCCUUAAAGGAAUUUUCAUUAUAGCAAUUGUCCUUGUUGGUGGGCAGAAGUAAAAUUAUGAAACAAGAAACUCCAAGGAGGUCAUGAAAACAAUUGGCAUUCAUCGUUAUGUACAGUGGAGCUCGUUUUGCUUAUCUGCAUUUAUUCUUUCUUAGGACUUACUGCUAUUUAGUAUUUACAGAAUGUGAGUAGGUUGCCCUGGAUGAGAUGUAGAGAGUCUAAUUAUAUUUUCAAAAGUGUAGUGAGAUAGUCUGUUUUGUGGUACUGGAACUUGAAAAUGCAUGUUUUUGCAGGUGUUAAUUGCCAAGAGUGGGUAUAGGAGACGUAGGGUACCAAAUUCUGUUUGGUCUGCUAUUACAGAAUACUUUCAGUACUAGGCUGUAUUUAAGGGCAUCUGUAGCUUUCAAUUAUAAUUCCAUUAUAAUAGUCACACUGACGUCAUUCGUAAACAGGGACAUUAAAGGAAAUUCCAGAUGUUCAGGUACUUGUAGCUGUAAAUAUUUCAGGAGACUUUUCUUCCAAACUUCUUUUUCCCUGAUGGGAGAGUUCUGUGAGCUGACAAGACUUGCUGUUUGGCCCUAGUGAUGAAUCAGCUGGAAUAAAACAUAAAGGAGUUGACGAAUACCUCUCACAUUAUGUUUAAUAUGUGUUGGUCCAUGUAUGGAUCUUGCCUACAUAAUCAGUCCAUUCUUUAAAUCAACGCCGAGUAUGUAGUCUUAAUUCCUAAUGUUCUUUCAGGUGGUUCUAGGAAAUAAUCAGAACUACUGUAAUUCAAACCUGCAUUGCAUUUGAAGGUUAUAAAAUUGUGUUUGGAAAACUAUGUGAUUUACAGCUAGCAUUCAGUUUAAUUACUGAUUGCUUAACUUGUGUGGUGGGUUUGCACUCUUUCCACUUGUUAGUUUGUUCCUGAAAGAGGCUGUUCUUAAACUAACUGGAAUUUGUCACUUAAGUUUUUAUGUGGUAGUUUUCUCUUUAAGAGUACCUUAAGCUUUUUAAUUCUGUAGGAGGCAGGGAUCUUGGCUACCAGACGGGUAAAAUAAAUAUUAGUUUUGUGUUAAUGCUCUCUGCCUGUUCCUAGGCUGCGCAUGUACUCGUCCUGUCCUCCCCCUCCUCCUGCAGUAGGGAGAGGCGGCAUCCCUCCGUCAGCACCGGGGAGGUUACUCUGCUAUGAACGUCUGUAGGGACGAGAUCUAGUAGGAUUAGGGGUCGUUUUAUUUCUGGUAUAAUUAAAAAGUAUGCAGGGGAUUGGUACAGCUGUAAAGCUUCCGGGGGGAAGGGGAGGGGGAGUCCUCUGCAGACCCCAUGAAUCCAGCAGGUUUUAAUGCAGCAACAUUCACUGUUCUUACUGUGGUGUUGGUGGGCUGCACUUAAGCUGAAAUGUUCUGGUAUUGAAUGAAGAAUAUUUUCACGCAGCUCAGAAAUAUCAGGUUUUAAAUUUAAAUUUCUUUCGUAAUAAACUGUAUUUUGGUUAAUUCUGUAGAUCCUCACAAAGCAGUGAUUGUUCUCUCAUCAUAGUUACUGUUAGAAAAGCUCCAAUCUCAGCUUUUGCUGUAGUGGCAAGGGGUUAACACUGAUGUUGCAUUAUCUUAUCUAGCUGAUAAUUUCAUCCAGAGGUCCCGGAAGUUGGUGUGCCAAUUGUUAGAUGCACUGGGCUGUGAAGUAAUCGGGACUUCAACUAGCAAAUACCAAGCUAUUGUAUUCAAUAAAGUUAAGUUGAAAUCAGCUUUCUGUGCUGCAUUGCAGUAGAAAGCAAUUAAUUAGUGUGACAAGGUGCCUUUUUUUUCUACCAAGAGAAACUUUCCAAUAUUAUUCUACAAUAUUAACAAAUGUUUAGCAGUUUUCCUUGAAAUUUAAAUUUAAUUUUAUAGUCUUACAGGCUAAAGAGCCUUUGGUUAACUUUGGUUUUUAGAAUUGAUGUUUACGGAAUAGUUUCUGAGAUUAUUUCUCUGAUUUGCACUGAUGCUAAUGGCAUGUAAUACGUCAGUAUUGUUAGUCACUGAAGUCUAAAUGUGUCACAUGAAAUGAGAUGGGUGUGCCAUUGAUUUGGUGUACAACAUCUCGAUCAUGCAGGAUUUAAUAAGUUCUGAUGUGUGCCUAUGAUUUACUUCAUUUUUGAAGUUCUACCAGUUAAAGAUCAGAGAUUUAUAGUGUAACAGUUUACGUCCCAAAAGGCAUGUUCGAAUUUACCAGAGCAGCGUUAGUAUUUCCAGUGUUGAUACCUUCACUUACGUGGUCGCAGUAAGAGAAUUGAGACGACAUCACAGGAGAGGCUGGCUGUUGAGACACGGUAGCUUUUACUAGAUAUGAGUUGCUCUUCGGAUAGCAAAGUAUUUUUGAAAAGCAGUGUGAGAGAAACGCAUCUUUUGAGAUGCAGCAUUGGUUGUACAACUGGGUAGUAGUUAAAUAAGCUAACGUGGGCAAUUGUCAUACUGUGCGUAGUGCUUAUAGUUUGCUUACCUCUUAAUACAAGUUGAUUACCUCACAGUUUGAGUAGUACAGUUAAUUAUUUGACAUCCUAUAAUUAUAUUCUUGUCCUUUUUUUUACAAGAACACUAAGAUUAAUUUUUUUCUUCUGACUUCAUAUUGUCUUCAUCACUUUAGUGUAAUUUAAAGUUUUGCAUCCCAUGAAGCACAAAGCAAUAAGAAUUUAACUGCCACGCUUCAUAAAGAUUUGGCAUGUGGCUUUUAGCUCAUACUCAUGUUGAUAGCUAUCAUUUUGCUGCUUUGAAAUAUCAGAGUUCCCAGUCUGUGUUUCCGGUAGUAGAUUAUUGCUUUUAAGAACAACUUGUAUAUUUCGUGCUAUUUACCUCAGGUAGCAUUGUGUGAAAAGAAGCAAAAUGAAGACAGGGCAUUUGUUUUAAUUCUUUGGGGAAAAAGGGCGCUAAAACACAUUGUGUAGUUUGCUUGAAUUGCAUUAUCUCCUAUCAGUUCAGUAAGAAGAGAGCAAGAUUCAGGAUUUUCUUUCAGAUGAGUUUCUAGGCCUGUCCCAAAAACAUUGGGGGGAAAAAAAAAAGUAUAUGAGUUUGCAUGGGGAAACAUCAGUAGAAAUUUGAAUUCAAAAAAGAGUUGUACGAAAGAGCCCCUUAACGUGAACAGAAAUGUACAGAGUUCUGUAGUGUGUUUAAUAAAAUGUAUGAAAUUGUCUCAAAAUUUCUGGUGUGUUUUUUUUAGAAAGGAGUGCAAGACAUGUGAAUGUGUAGUCAAUAUGAGGGACUGAUUUUGCUUUCAGGAAUGUUUUGAUUGAUGGAAGUAGACAAGUUUAAUGCCAAGAUACUUGUUUGUAAACUAUUGACUUCUAAAAACACUUAUAAUAGGACGCAAUGGUGGUUUUAUUGAAAAAGUUGAACUAAAGGUACCACCUGUGAAGAACUUCCUCUGAGGUAUACCCAUGGUUAGGGCUUUUUCAUCUGAGUGAUAGGUCCUUGCAUUGCAUCGGAGACGCUAAUGUCUGAAUGGAUGUGAUGGCUGCCUCAGAACGAUGCUGCUGUUAGCAGUGAAAAAUGUCUUCCUUAUGAUUCUUGUGCAGCAGGCCGUGGAGUGCAGCACAUUUUUAUAAUAAAGGUGAUGAAUUUAAUCGCAAACUGGCAGCCAAAUGGAAAUUGCAGACCUUGAUACUGGGAGAAAAUUGCCUAUAAAGCAACUCCUGAGGGAGCAGGCUUUAAAUUUAUCCACCCAUUUCGACAUUGAGGAGAACAUAGGAAUUGCAGGGUAUUUUGCUUGGCCUGUUUAGUUCAGAUGGAUGAUGCUUCAGUCUUCCUUUAUUUAAGAACUAGAUACAGUUUGUUAAAAGAAUGACCUUGUUGCUGAAACUUUACAUGUUAAGGCUUUUGGAAAAACCUAUUCCCUUACUUUCUUGAAACUUGCUCCUGUUAGUAGGACCUAAUACGAAUAAUGAACAGAACUUAUCAACUUGCCAUAUAUACCAGGUUUAACCCUAGUGUCAUUUGAGAUUUAAAAAAAAAAAAGUGCAUGCAUGUAUUUGAAGGCUGUUUGCAGCAUUACACUGAUGUGAGAAGCAAUGUUAUAAGUGAUUUAACUGGUCUUGAAGUCGUCCCACUAGGAGCUGUGGAAGUAGGAUGCUUCUUCUAAUAUGUUGUAGCAUAAUUUGUGAUAGAGGGACAGCAUUUUUCCAAGUUGUUGAUGCUGAUACAAUUCAGCAACUCCUAAUUGCUCUUUAGUUUUUAAUAGUAUUCAGUGUUGAUGUUCUUAUAUGGUAAUUAGGAACUGAAAUUACAAAUAAAAUGCCUAUUUAUGGAAAGUACUAUAUUAAGGAAUGUUUUGACUUUUUUAAUUGGGGAACUUAAUGAAAGAUGAUAUAGAUAUCAUCUGUACAGAGAACUAAUCUCAAGUAGAUUCAUUUAGAAAUAGGUGCUUUGGGUACCUAACUGAGCCUUUUCACUACAGUGCUUUUGAACAGUUCUUUUCAGUGCUUUGAGAAGUGACCAUCUUUCAAGCAGAAUUAAGAAUGAAUAGCUUUGGAGUUUUUCAGUCUUUAUGGUGAAGAGAAUAGGAACAUUUAACAGUAAUACUUCAUGUGUGGAAUUUGGAAGAAUCUGAAUGGAAGAUUGAGGGAAGAAGAUGAGAAACGAUUUACUUCCAAGUUGUACUGAUUGCUGCUACUUCUGUAGGUAGGUAAAACUCAGUUUAUUAACAUCCAGGAGAAAAAAAAAAAAAAAAAAAAAGGAAAUUUUAUCAAGUUUCUCAAACACAAUGUAUGUGAUUCACUAUCUUGAAAUAAUUUCAUAAAGUCUUAGUAAAUAUUAUAAAUCUUUUGCUUAAUUACACUGUGCUGUGUUGAUCUUGCUGCAGAAUAUGGUCCUAUACUGGCAGCAACUGAACAUGUAUUUAGGAUCUCUUCCUGGUAUUGGAAAUUCUGAAGAGGUGUCCAGAUAUCUCAAGAUUUUUUCCUCUUUUAUCAUGUAAUGAGCAAUAUCUCCAUGCUUCUCUUUAAUUUCAUGACUGACCUAAAGGGGAUACAUUGCAGGAAACAGAGGUGGUUCCCAAAAACGUUUUCUUGAACUUACUCCCUGAGGAGUUGGGGGUUCAUUCCAGCCGCUUACAUAAAUGGGAUGCAGACCUUCCAGUUUGGGUUCCUGUUUGAAGUACACAGCUACAACUGAAGAACUUUGCAGUUCACUGUGGUUUUGAUUUUUUUUAAUUUUUUUUAGAGGAGCCCUGACAAAGGUUGACUUUCAAAGCUCAAAAAAAAACAUGCCAGCUUAGAUUUUUUCAUUCAGUACUCAUGACAUUAAUGAGGAAAGCUUAAGAGAAUUUACGUAAAUAUUUCCUGGCAGGCUCAAAUGUAUUCAGCAUGCAACCAGGGUUUUUUGAAUGGUAAUUAUAACUUGUGUUACUGGUUGUAUUUCUAGUUCCUUGCUACGCUGUGUGAAGCUCUAUAAACUUUACCUAGAGUGUUUCUUGGUACUUUCAAGAACAUUUUCUGGUGUGAUGGUCUGGCUUCAUUUUCAGUAAGAAAAUCAUGUUGAAAUGAGUUAAUGAGUUUUUAGAAUAUCGGUAAUGGUGAGAGAGGACCCCCAAACCCUUCUUCUUCUACUCAUCUGUUCAGUGAAGGUGUUUUUGUAUUUUUUCUUCUCCUUUUCUCCCCCAGUGUAAUUGAAAGCAGUCAAGCUCUGAUCAGAUGCUCUGCAGGUCUAGUGGCAGGAUGGGAUUGACUAUUUGCCUAUGCUUUUUUCUGUAUCCUUCAAACAUGAUUUCAAAAGAGAAUUGUGUCCCCCUGCAGCCAGUACAUGGGAACAGGUGAUGGAAAAGAAGAGUUAAAGGGGAAGAGAGAAUAGCAGAGAAUAUAAACCUGAAAGCCUUUGACUGCUUUUGUACUCAAAGCUUAUAAAAACAAGUCUUGAAUGUUAAAUGGGGGAAGAAAAUUAAACUUGCCUAUUUCCAUUCAACAUAGUAGGUGUUAAAAUUUUAUUUCACUUCUGGUAAUGUAGUCUCGGCUGUAUGCCAUUUGUAGUUGUACAUGGCUGUGGUUUAAUGUGCAGUGGCUCGUCUAUGCAGGCAGAGCAUUGUUUUGGACAAUUAAAGCUGGAAUUGGUAGUGUAAGUUGGUGCAUAGUUGAGACCUCAUCUUGGUUCCAUAUUAAAAGUUGGCUGCAUCUUAGCAUAGUGGUGGCAGUUUUCUUCUUAGUUUAUUUCUCUGAAUUGUCUGAGACAAACUGUGAGACAAAGUUUAGGUAGUGACUAUGAGAAAGCUAGCACGUGUGAUGUUUAUUUCACUGUAGUAUUUGGUACUGAAUACUGUCACACUGAAAAGAAAAAUACUUUUAUAUGAUACCAGCGAUUUUACUAUUUUUAAUAUGCAAAUUGAAAUCUUAUUUCAGUAAUCUAGAAAAAACACUGGUAUGUUUCUUACGAGCAUGUGAAUUGGGUAACUUCAGUCAAAGCUGCAGUGUGACCUCUGAAAUGUGCCACACUGUCAUAGCUUUUUUUCCUCAUCUGCCCAUUCUCACCUGAGAAGGCCAUAUAGUUUCAGCUGUCAAUUCCCAUGCAUCUGGGGAAUGGGCUUGAGAGAGCUGUCUCACUUAUGUGCAAUUACUUUGUUUCCUUCUGAAAUUCCUGCUUUAAGGCCAUCUUUUGAUUUUUGUAUUACAGAAAAAGUCAGGAAGAUGCUGUUGUACAAGAAGUCUGGUGCUAUAGUUGUGUCUGGAGGUGUAAGGGAAAGUUGGGUGGGAACUAGAACUUUCUGAAAAACUGAAGGAAUGAAGAAAUAAGGGACUUGAAUGUGGAGAAAGGAUACUUAAAGGGUAGGAGAGGGUUUGAGAGGAGAUGAACAGGCAAAAGCAUAUGUCUGAGCGGAAACUGUAUUCGAGAUCCUGGAGUAAACCCAAAGUUUUGGAGUCUGGCCAUGUCUUUGCUGUCAGGAAAUAUCUGUGAAACCCAGAGGCAAAUUGUCUCAUUCCUUCUCUGCUGCUGGACAGUAUCUUCUGCUCCUGUCAGUUAAUACCUUAUUUCAUGUGGCAGAAGCCUUUGAAUCUAAAGAUGCUAGCUAGCUGACUGGUUGAAUUUAGCAAGUUGCCAGAUAGGAGCACAGUUGUUUUGUGGUAGUAAAACUGAUCCCUAAGAUGCACACAGAUGAGGACUUCCAGGCAUGCUCUUUUUUACCUCACAUGAAGAGUGAUGUUUCUGAUACUGGGAUCAGACAGUGGUUCUCUGGAAAAAAAAUAAUAGUAAAAGAAUAAAAAGUAGUUGAGAGUAAGCACGAGACCUCUUUUUGUGAAAGAAGUGGUAUCCCACCACCACGCUAAUGGAUUUGUGUGACUGUUACAAGUGACUUGUAGAACAACGAUGAGCUUAUUAAGGAAAUUGAGUAAGUAAGGAAAAAGAAAAAUUAUGUUUUUGCUUCAUGAAUAAUAGCCACAAUUACCUGAAAACUUGUCAAUUAUCAAAAAUACGUUGCUUAACCAAGUGUUUGUUAUGCUGUGUGUGCAUAUUGUGCAAGAGCGUGCUGUCUCAAAGUAAACUUUCUGUAAAAACAAAACCCAGCCAAAACAACAAAACUUUUUAUGUAGCGAAGUUUUAUUUCAUAAAGGGUCUGAAUGAGUAUUGAACAUGUUCUCAUGCUCUUAAUUGCUUUGUUGUCGUAUAUUGCUUUUUUUUUUUCAGGUAAAGCAUACCAAAACAUGCUGUAAGCAUUUGCAGUUUUCAACUUCAAAAGUAAACGUACACUGGAUUUUUUAACAAAUUGUCAAGCUUAGGAUAUGUAUUAGUUGUCUUGAGUAUAUUAAGGGAAAAAAGGCAGUUUGCAAGCACUCUUUUAGUUUUGUUUAUGGUGCUUCAUAAGAUUGUUGAUAAAAGUCUACUUCCCAGAAAAGUGAUUCUUUAAUAUUCUUCAUAAAAUAUCUCUUGGUCUUGAAAAAGGGAAUAUUAUCUUGAAGAGGCAAACUGUAGACCAUAUUUAUCGAUGUGGAAAGAAGAAUGAUGCUUAUUCUUGAAGACUAUAUCUCAUUGAUGUGUCUUAAGGCAGGGUCUAAAUAUCCAGUAAUUAAAAUAAUUGUUACUGAUUAACAGUAACAGUUGUGGUUUUGAAUUCUGAAGAAUGAUUUCAGUAAAUUGAAGGCAUUGUUUCCAUCCUUUUUUUUUUUUUUUUUUUUUUGGAAUUAGGAUUGUAUGAGAAUAUUGUCAUAGGUCUCAGGACAGAUAAAUUACUCUAAAAAGUCAAUGGUAAUCUGUCAAGAAAUAUUCUUCGCUUUUCUGGAGAGAGUGCAAUUAAUGCCUUUGAGGAAAGAUUGUGGGUUUUGUUUAGAUCAGUUUUAGCUGAUUGCUGUUGUGACAGCCUACAUAGCUACACGUGACUACACCACCUAGAAUCUUGUGGCAAAGGACACAAUGCAGCUGUGAAGUGGUGCACUUUAUGAAAUAUCGUCAGGGUAGUUCUGACUUGUACUGGCCAAAGUGCAGAGGGUGGCUUGGACAGGGGCUAUUUUAUCUACCAAGGCAGGAUUUCAGUUUGCUCAUCUGCCUAAUGUGGACCUGGUGUUGCAUGCCAAUCAGGUACUGUACAUAAGGCAGAAAAGAAGGAUGCUCAGUAGGUGCAGUCUAGUCUACUUUAUUCUGAAUAGUAAUAUGGAAUUAAAAGUAAUAUCACUAACCAAAUGCUUAUUACUCUUCACAGAGUAGUCAAGCCAUGUGUAGCAUCAUUAUUAAUGAAAGCUCUUUUACGAUUGAAGGCAGUGAGCAUGGUUCAGCCUAUUGAAAGGAGAAUCCACUUAAUCAUAGCACAGGUAAUGGAGUUUUUGAAAAGUGAGGAGCAUCUGUUGAUCACAAAAAAGGAGCAGAAUCUGAAUCUAUCUGUACCUUGAUAGUCAAUGGGAACUUGUCAUAGUAUAAAAGAUGCUGCUCUUAAUGGAGGAUUCUUUUGUAGUUGAGCUUCACUUUUUCUUGAAUCAAAUUUUAAAAGAUGGGGUAAGUAUGUUUUGAUAUACCCAGCUGCGGUUUGUGUUGAACAUUCCAUUUGCUAUGUGGAAUAAAAAUAUAUUUGUAAUGUUUUUAUAGGGUAAAUAACUAGUAUGUUUUAGUGCAGCAAGAGAAACUUAAGUAGCAAUUUUCAUGUUUUUUACUUUGUCGGAGGUUGAUGCAUUAGUGGUAGUUGAUUCUCUUCAUUAAAGUUUUGCUGGCUGUGCACGGUUAGAAAGAGUUAGUUGCCUUGCUGAUUUCCUGCCUGCUGGUAUUGUGUUGAGUCAGAUGGCUGAACUAAUGCAGAGGACAAAAGGAUGGAUAACAGUAAGAUUAGUAUAUUCAUACGUCUCUUCGUUUUAACUCAUGUUUGGGUUUGGGAAAAUACUCAGGUUUAGUAAAAAUGACAAUUGCAAACAUUGGCCUAUUUUUAUUUGUUUUUUAACCUUGAAGUUAGGCCUCAGUUCAUGUAAGAUUUAGUUUGCUUGUUGCCAGGUUUCAGUUCCCUGGAGAGCUGUGUUUACAUAGGUAUAUUUGUCUUGUAGAAGAUUAUUCAGGUGUAUGCAUUUGCACUGAACACAAGCACGCUUCCCCCCCCCCCCUCCCUUUAGGUUGAUGAAAAAUGAGCAGCUUUUCAAAGCUGACUGCUUAUCUUAAUCACUUCAAUGUGAAAUUGAAGUUGUUCAGCAGUUGUAAUAGGGAAACUAAGACUUUUUUUUUAGUACUAGUUUCUUUAUAUACUACCCAGCAUAAAUACAAGCGUUUUUUCAUCCUUUUAGUAUCUUGGUUAGUAUUUAGUCCUGCCAUAAUAAUACUAACAUUUUUCACUUGUUAUGCUUCUCAUAUGAAGUUCUGUUUUGCUUGUAUGAUUAACUAUAAUUUGCAGUAAGGUAAAAUUUUAACUAUUAGCAUACAUAGUGCUUUUAAUGGAUUUGUUUUAACACUGGUGCUUAAAAUAAAAAGGUGUUCAGUAACAUAAGCUUACAUAUGAUAAGAGUGGAUCACAACAGUUUGAUACAGAAUUAUGUGUGCGACCUGUCUGUUUUAUUGUAAUUUAAAGACCGUGCAAAGAAUUCCUUUCCCAAGCUAUUAAUGAUAUAUUGUUAAACCAGAACAUGACCAUUUUCAGUGUAUUUUCCCCUACACCAUUACUUAUAACAGUAGGUUGUUCCAGAAUCACAUCUCUCAAAUUCAGAUUAUUUUUCAUUGAUAAACUUAACCUGUGGACAGUUUAAAUCUGUGUAAAUUUAUAGCAGAUGUUGCUCUUUAAACUCCCAUACGGGUGACAGUUAUCAGCGUAUGGCAAUGAGCAAUCCUCUCCUGUUCACUUGUGUUUGUUGUUUUUUUUUUUUUUUUCAAGCCAGUCUCUUUAUUUCUUCCUUGUAUUUUUACACAAAUGCCCUUCCAUAUCUUCCAUAGUGUUUUAUACCAGAAUUGUAUAGAGCAUUUUAAUAGAGUCGUUCAUGUAAUUCUUCCAUUCUAUUUGAAAAUACCACACAGAGCUACAUCGGUUAAGGUGCUUUCUGUUCUGCUGUCAUUGGUGUCUCCUGGCUGGUUUGUGAUUGGUUCAUGUUUUCCUCCUGUCAGUUUCAAACAAUGUUCUUUAUUGGGGGGGACCUUGUGUUUUUUUGCACAAAGGUAUUGUUAUUCAGAGUGAGAUUCCACUUUCACUAAUUCAUUUUUAGAGAUUAUUUAGCUCAUCCUUUAUGACAUUUUAUUUCAGCUUUGGUCAACCUCCUUUUAUGUAACUCUACUUUUAGCACAGCUGUUGUCACUUUAUUUUAGGUUGUCCUUUGAAGAGCCUUUCCAGCAAUUUAGCUAAAUUCCAUGCAGCGUUGCAUAUGAAACUCAAAUUAGCACUGCUCUGUUUUUUUCAGUACUCUCUCUUACAGACUGUGCUAGACUAACAAACUAACUUUGGUAAAUUUCUAUUAUGCUUUAGACUUUUGCUCUGAUACUUCAAAUUUUUCAACAUUAUCUGAAAUUUGGCAGAGACUAAUGUAUCUGACUGGAAUAUUCUUGAAACUAAGCUUUGGAGCCUUUUUCUGCAUGAACAUCUGCUUAUUGUAAGUCUAACUUGGUUUCCAGUUUUUACUCUCUUUCCAACAUUUAUCUUUGACCUCUUCCAUUCAGAUUUUGCUAACAAACUGUUACCUCAUCCAUGUCAGCUAUUUUGAAAUCUAAGUUUAAACAAAAUUUGUGGAUCUUCUGUUAGUUCAAGGUUUAUAACUUGAUUUGAUGGCAGUCUCCUCUGAAGUCUUUUCUAUGUACUGAAGCCAAAUUUAUAACAACUUAGACUUACCAAUCAAGUUUUUCAAGAACUGUUCAGUUUGUCACAAAAGAAUACUUGCCUGCUGCUAUACUAAGAGUUGAUGUUUGCAAAUUAAGCUUUGUAACUUAAUAAGUAGUACAAGAUAUGUUGGGCGUAUAUAAUCUUUUACCACAGAUGGGAAAUACUUGAUUUAGAGCUGUGGAUUGGUCAGUUGUGGCAUCAAAUUUCUUAUGUUGCAUUGUUACUUAUGUAUUUAGUUAAUAAAGUCUUCCCUGUGAUUAAGUGGAGAUUUUUGUUUAUGUACUGCCUAACUCUGGGAAGUCUUCCAAUUCUCAAAGUUUGUUUGAAGUUACAUCAUGUAUCUUGAUAAUGUCUUUAAUAUCAGAGCAGUGCAAUAGUUGAUGUAUUUAAUGUGGUAGAUGACUAACUUGUUGAUGUCAGUGUUAGCACUUGUCAACCAGAAUUUUUUCCUUUCUUUUUAUCUCGUGAUUAACAGCCGCAUUUUCAUGUCAGCAUAGGGCAGUGCAAGGCAAAACCAUGUGAUAGGGAGCAGCGUGUUUAAAAAUUGAGAUUCUGUUACUGUUGUACAUGACCAGCUUAAAAAAAAAAAAUAUGGAAUUAGGAACUUGUCUGGCCUACGCAAAUGGGGUAGAUUCCAGUUGAAGUGAUGGAAGCCAUCAGGUCAUCAGCCUCUUAGGAAAUUAUGCUUUGCAUAUGCAGAGACGUUGCUUUUAUAAAUAGUGGAAAAACAUAGUUUUGAUAAGGUAGCACGUUAGAAUUAGAGAUGUUCACUUUAUAACUGAGUCAUUUGCUCAUUAAACAUUUGCUUUCUUGCUUCUUGGUGUUUCAUAUAUUGCAGUAUUAGGUUGGUUCCUCAUUUAGUAAACAUUGGUCUCAGUUUCUAGUUAUCACAGGUACAAAAACUUAGUGCCAAAAUCCAUGGUGAUAAAAGCUCUUCAUCAGCAUCUUAAUGGCAGUAUAGUGCAACUUUUUUAUAAGGAAUGCAUAAUUGUAAUUAAUUCUUCAUGACUAAUUAGCUAAUGCUGACUAUGCUUUUUACUCACUGAUAAAGAAUUAUGGAUCCUGAUGUAUGAGGAGGUCACUGCGUGCAUAGAUUGUAGAAUGUUGCCUUUUAUGACAAGGAGAAGACAAAGUUCUGUGAAAAAAAUAACAUAGGAUUUGCAAAUUCAUUUUCCAGCAACUCUUGGUUUCUUUAUAUUAGUGAGAGUUUUAUGUUGCUUCGGAUUGCCUUUGUAUGUGGAGGAUGUGGGAAGUUUUGGCUUUACUAAAACAGUUGUUGAAACAAGAAGAUUCCUGUGACUUCAUGGUGUUUGAAGAGUUGAUUGGUUUUGGGUGGUCAGAAAAGUUUAAAAAAAAAAAAAAAAACAACACUCACCCCAUUCAUACAAAAGGCAAAGAAUGCAUUAGCAAUUCUAGUAUUUUUUUGACGUUGUUGUGGAAAGUGGUUGUGGUUGGUGGCCAAAAGAUUGACAGAAUAACCUACACGGCCUUUCUGUUUUUCUCUGAAAAACGGUCAGUGUCAGGAUGCACUUUGGAAAGCAGGAGGGAAUAUAAUGGUGCUGCUACUCAGUUAUUUCCAGUAGCUUUUGUUAGUAGCUUUCAUUGCUUGACUUCUCAGGUCAAGUACAAA